GAGUUUGAUCUUGGCUCAGAACGAACGCUGGCGGCAUGCCUAACACAUGCAAGUCGAACGAAGUCUUCGGACUUAGUGGCGCACGGGUGCGUAACGCGUGGGAAUCUGCCCUUGGGUACGGAAUAACUCAGAGAAAUUUGUGCUAAUACCGUAUAAUGUCUUCGGACCAAAGAUUUAUCGCCCAAGGAUGAGCCCGCGUAAGAUUAGCUAGUUGGUGAGGUAAGAGCUCACCAAGGCGACGAUCUUUAGCUGGUCUGAGAGGAUGAUCAGCCACACUGGGACUGAGACACGGCCCAGACUCCUACGGGAGGCAGCAGUGGGGAAUAUUGGACAAUGGGCGAAAGCCUGAUCCAGCAAUGCCGCGUGAGUGAUGAAGGCCUUAGGGUUGUAAAGCUCUUUUACCCGGGAUGAUAAUGACAGUACCGGGAGAAUAAGCUCCGGCUAACUCCGUGCCAGCCGCCGCAGUAAU
rnacentral:rRNA from 1 species